UUGCGGGCGAUACGGGCAGACUGGAGUACUGCAGGGGAGACUGGAAUUCCUGGUGUAGCGGCGGAAUGCGCAGAUAUCAGGAGGAACACCGGUGGCGAAGGCGGGUCUCUGGGCAGUAACUGACGCUGAGGAGCGAAAGCGUGGGGAGCGAACAGGAUUAGAUACCCUGGUAGUCCACGCCGUAAACGGUGGGUACUAGGUGUGGGUUUCCUUCCUUGGGAUCCGUGCCGUAGCUAACGCAUUAAGUACCCCGCCUGGGGAGUACGGCCGCAAGGCUAAAACUCAAAGAAAUUGACGGGGGCCCGCACAAGCGGCGGAGCAUGUGGAUUAAUUCGAUGCAACGCGAAGAACCUUACCUGGGUUUGACAUGCACAGGACGUGCCUAGAGAUAGGUAUUCCCUUGUGGCCUGUGUGCAGGUGGUGCAUGGCUGUCGUCAGCUCGUGUCGUGAGAUGUUGGGUUAAGUCCCGCAACGAGCGCAACCCUUAUCUUAUGUUGCCAGCGCGUAAUGGCGGGGACUCGUGAGAGACUGCCGGGGUCAACUCGGAGGAAGGUGGGGAUGACGUCAAGUCAUCAUGCCCCUUAUGUCCAGGGCUUCACACAUGCUACAAUGGCCGGUACAAAGGGCUGCGAUGCCGUGAGGUGGAGCGAAUCCUUUCAAAGCCGGUCUCAGUUCGGAUCGGGGUCUGCAACUCGACCCCGUGAAGUCGGAGUCGCUAGUAAUCGCAGAUCAGCAACGCUGCGGUGAAUACGUUCCCGGGCCUUGUACACACCGCCCGUCACGUCAUGAAAGUCGGUAACACCCGAAGCCGGUGGCCUAACCCCUUGUGGGAGGAGCCUCAAGUGUCG
rnacentral:rRNA from 1 species